GUGCCAGCAGCCGCGGUAAAACCAGCACCUCAAGUGGUCAGGAUGAUUAUUGGGCCUAAAGCAUCCGUAGCCUGUUCUGUAAGUUUCCGGUUAAAUCCAUUAGCUCAACUAAUGGGCUGCCGAAAAUACUGCAGAACUAGGGAGUGGGAGAGGUAGACGGUACUCGGUAGGAAGGGGUAAAAUCCUUUGAUCUAUUGAUGACCACCUGUGGCGAAGGCGGUCUACCAGAGCACGUUCGACGGUGAGGGAUGAAAGCUGGGGGAGCAAACCGGAUUAGAUACCCGGGUAGUCCCAGCUGUAAACGAUGCAGACUCGGUGAUGCACUGGCUUGUGGCCAGUGCAGUGCCGCAGGGAAGCCGUUAAGUUUGCCGCCUGGGAAGUACGUACGCAAGUAUGAAACUUAAAGGAAUUGGCGGGGGAGCACCACAAGGGGUGAAGCCUGCGGUUCAAUUGGAGUCAACGCCAGAAAUCUUACCCGAAGAGACAGCAGAAUGAAGGUCAAGCUGGAGACUUUACCAGACAAGCUGAGAAGUGGUGCAUGGCCGUCGCCAGCUCGUGCCGUGAGAUGUCCUGUUAAGUCAGGUAACGAGCGAGAUCCCUGCCUCUAGUUGCCACCAUUACUCUCAGGAGUAGUGGGGCGAAUUAGCGGGACCGCCGUAGUUAAUACGGAGGAAGGAAGGGGCCACGGCAGGUCAGUAUGCCCUGAAACUUUGGGGCCACACGCGGGCUGCAAUGGUAGCGACAAUGGGUUCCGAAUCCGAAAGGUGGAGGUAAUCCUCAAACGCUACCACAGUUAUGAUUGAGGGCUGUAACUCGCCCUCAUGAAUAUGGAAUCCCUAGUAACUGCGUGUCAUUAUCGCGCGGUGAAUACGUCCCUGCUC
rnacentral:rRNA from 1 species